rnacentral:rRNA from 1 species
UACGGGGGGAGCAAGCGUUGUUCGGAUUUACCGGGCGUAAAGGGCGCGUAGGCGGUCGUGACAAGUCAGUUGUGAAAUCUCCGAGCUUAACUCGGAAAGGUCAACUGAUACUGUGCGGCUAGAGUGCGGAAGGGGCAACUGGAAUUCUUGGUGUAGCGGUGAAAUGCGUAGAUAUCAAGAGGAACACCUGCGGCGAAGGCGGGUUGCUGGGCCGACACUGACGCUGAGGCGCGAAAGCCAGGGGAGCGAACGGG